UCUGGGCGUGGUGGCACGUGCCUAUAAUCCCAGCAACUUGGGAAGCUGAGGCAGGAGGAUCACAUUAAAUCUCUCAUUUAAAAAGUUUGAAGUGCUCACAGUUCAAACUUUUUAAAUGAGAGAUUUAAUGUGAAAAAUGCAUCUU
rnacentral:sRNA from 1 species